CUUAUGUGCUAAGCAUUUUGAUUUUAUGAGUCAAAAAUCUAAUAAAACGAUAUUUGUAAUAAAUUGACUUCGUUAUCUUUGUAUUUUUUAUUAUUUUUUCAUUUAUAUUUCAAUUACGUUUUCACUAAAU